rnacentral:rRNA from 1 species
UACGUAGGGUGCAAGCGUUAAUCGGAAUUACUGGGCGUAAAGCGUGCGCAGGCGGUUUGGUAAGACAGAUGUGAAAUCCCCGGGCUUAACCUGGGAAUUGCAUUUGUGACUGCCCGGCUAGAGUGUGUCAGAGGGGGGUAGAAUUCCACGUGUAGCAGUGAAAUGCGUAGAUAUGUGGAGGAAUACCGAUGGCGAAGGCAGCCCCCUGGGAUAACACUGACGCUCAGGCACGAAAGCGUGGGGAGCAAACCGG